CCUACGGGUGGCAGCAGUGAGGAAUAUUGGUCAAUGGACGAGAGUCUGAACCAGCCAAGUAGCGUGAAGGAUGACUGCCCUAUGGGUUGUAAACUUCUUUUAUAUGGGAAUAAAAUGUUCCACGUGUGGGAUUUUGUAUGUACCAUAUGAAUAAGGAUCGGCUAACUCCGUGCCAGCAGCCCCGGUAAUACGGAGGAUCCGAGCGUUCUCCGGAUUUAUUGGGUUUAAAGGGAGCGUAGGUGGAUUGUUAAGUCAGUUGUGAAAGUUUGCGGCUCAACCGUAAAAUUGCAGUUGAAACUGGCAGUCUUGAGUACAGUAGAGGUGGGCGGAAUUCGUGGUGUAGCGGUGAAAUGCUUAGAUAUCACGAAGAACUCCGAUUGCGAAGGCAGUUCACUGGACUGCAACUGACACUGAGGCUCGAAAGUGUGGGUAUCAAACAGGAUUAGAUACCCGUGUAGUC
rnacentral:rRNA from 1 species